rnacentral:rRNA from 1 species
UACGUAGGGUGCGAGCGUUAAUCGGAAUUACUGGGCGUAAAGCGUGCGCAGGCGGCUUCGCAAGUCAGGCGUGAAAUCCCCGGGCUUAACCUGGGAAUGGCGUCUGAAACUACGGAGCUGGAGUGUGGCAGAGGGAGGUAGAAUUCCACGUGUAGCGGUGAAAUGCGUAGAUAUCAGGAGGAACACCGAUGGCGAAGGCAGUUCUCUGGGCCGUAACUGACGCUGAGGAGCGAAAGCGUGGGGAGCGAACAGG